CAGUCUGCAGACAUUCAGAUUAAGGCUGCACGAUUAAUCGCAUGCGAUUGUCAUGCGUGUCUCAAGAGGAAUACUUGUUGUAUACUGUUGUACCCUAUCAGAUGACCACAAAGGGGGAAGGUCUCACUUGUGGCAAAGGUCACCUAUGCCUUCUAUGGGGUGGACAACUCCUGUGGAGGAUUCUCCAUGUGUGAGGAAGAACACCACUGGCCUGUAUUUAUCUAAUGCCUGUAAAACAAGACAAGCAUGGUUGAUCAUAUGUAGUAAAUACAUAAAUGGUUAAUAAAACAUAAUGUGUACCUGCUCAAUUUCCUCAUUUGUAAAGUACCCACCAGCAGAGGUUACAACUGUGUUCACCUUGGUGCCUGUUGAAUAGUGUUCCAUACAUGAAUUAAUGAUGUUCUGGAUCACCUUUUAUUACUCUUAGUUGCAGGCUUUCUAGUAAAAACAGAAUCAGUACCUA